rnacentral:rRNA from 1 species
CCCUUAGAUGUUCUGGGCCGCACACGCGCUACACUGAAGGAGGCAGCGUGUACUCCUGGAUCGAAAGAUUUGGGUAACCCGCGAAUCUCCUUCGUGCUAGGGAUUGAGGUUUGCAAUUAUCAUUCAUGAACGAGGAAUUCCCAGUAAGUGCAAGUCAUAAGCUUGCGCUGACUACGUCCCUGCCCUUUGUACACACCGCCCGUCGCUACUACCGAUUGAAUGAUUUAGUGAGGACUUCGGACUGGGACCGAUGCGGCUUUCGGGCUGCGUCGGUAUUCUGGAAAGAUGUCCAAACUGUAUCAUUUAGAGGAAGUAAAAGUCGUAACA